GGAGGUAGCACCUUAGACCAUGCCACUCAGCUACAGAAAUGACCUUGCCAUGCCAGGGACGAACACCUUACACUACACUACUCAGCAACAGGGCCAUACGGUGCAGAGAGGAC